UGGAAACACGCACAUGGCUGUCUGCCCACCACAGAGAGAGGCCACAGAAGAAACCAGCCUGCCUGACACCUUGCUCCUGGACUCCCAACCUCCAGGACUGUGACGGGACAGGAGAAAUCCCUGUUGUUCAAGCUACCAGGUCAGGGGCGGCCCGGGCCCGUUAAGUGGCACGUACUCCCACCCGGCCCUGGGACAUUGGGGCCAGCCCACGAUGACGUAGCACUUGUUUGCAAGCUUUAUUUCCUUGACCGCACGGCUGAUUUUUCCACAUGAAACCCUAUGUCGCUCCUCAAAUGUAUAACAGAAAAGCGGGAGUGUUCUGGCUGUGCUGUUCAGCGUCCUUAUUCUCAAUGCCCCUGCAGCCCCGGGCGCCUUCCUUAGAGGACCCUGUAAACACUGCUGCACGGAAGAGUGCUACUCAUUUUGCAGAAGAGUAACUUCUGCAGAAAAACGUGAAAUGUGUUACUUCUUUUCCUCUCGGUGCUGCUACAUGCCUCACGGCUCCAGAGAAUCAGUGUAGUCCAGAGUCAGCCGAUGCGGUGUAGAGUGGAACGCUGGGUUUGCAGGCCCAUGCCAGGGCUCAAGUCCCUCCUCUCCACUCCCUGGCCGAGUGCCAUUUGAACAGGCGACCUGAGCUCUAUGAGCCACGUUUUCUCCUCUGUAAAGCGGCACAAGGUGCUGAGAUUGUGCAUGAGUCCAGAAGCCGCCUUGUAGAAUAAACGUGAGUUUCGGAGUCAGACAGUUCCGCGUUUGAACCCGGCUCUGCUGCCUCGUAGCUGUGUGGCCUUGGGUAAGUCGAGUGACCUCUCUGAGCUUCUUUCACGUGUCACAAAAUAUUCUUUAGAUUUUUUUUUUAAUUACGUUUUUAAUUUUGAUUCCAGUAUAGUUGACAUACAGUGUUACAUUAGUUUCAAGUGUACAAUAUAGUGAUUCAACAAUUCUAUAUAUUUCUCAGUGCUCAUCAUAAUAGAUAAGGGUACUCUUUGGAUUUUUAAAACAAUCGAGAAAUGUAAAAACCAUACUUACAGGUGGUUGCACAAAAACACAGCGGGCUAGAUUUGGCCGGUGGGCUGUAGUUUGCUGACCCACAGGUUAGACUGUGAAAGCCUCCAAAGCGUGAGCAAUUUCCUUUAUAUUCUCAGCGGACUCCCUGUAGAUCCAGCAAAUGGCUGGUGAAUGAGAACGUCUUGCUACCUCUUAGAGAUAGUAAUGUAGCUACUGGCUGGAGAUAUGAAUGUGAACAUGGCAUGUUGCUGGUACAGAAGGUUGUUCUGGAAAGACAGAAGCCCCUUCCAGGGGGAAUUUGCAUCUUAGGAGAGAAGGCAGGGAGAGCUAACAACCUUGGAAGUUGCUGCAAUUCUGGAAAAGCUGCCCUGGCUUCUCAGCCACUCCCCACUCCGCCAGCAGGGGGCGCUAGAGGACCGCUUUCCUCUGCGUGUCCAGGCAGCCGGGAAGCUUUGUCUGCGGCGCCCUGCCAGGAGGUGGGAGAUGCUGGGGAUGGCCCAGACGACCUCCGAGUGUCUUUUCUGCCCAUUGAAGCUUGGCUUUUUUUUCUUUUCUUUUCUUUCUUUCUUUCUUUUUUUUUUUUUUUUUUGCUGAGGAAUCCACAGGGAUGAACUUCCCGGAGCUGGCUGGCAGCUGUGAGUUCUGCAGGAGCAGCCCCCUGGCCCCAGAAAUGCAAUAAAAUGAGAACACGCCUCAUGUUGCAGGGGGCUGUCUGUCAUCCCGGAGUUUCAAUGUUUCAGAAUCGCAGCGACCACAGCUUUUGGGAGAAAAGAUCACAGGUCCAUGGUGUUCAGCAUGGUUUUCUCAGCAAGGAUCCCGACCAGUAGGAGCUGCUCAGAAGUGUAUGUCCUGCCCACCCCCCCCCUUCCAGGGCCCACUGCAUUAGACACUGCAGUUGGGGGCCAGCAGCUGACCCCUAACAAGCCCUCCAGGGAAUAAUUCAUCGCGUGUGCCCUGCACCGCUGGGAGAGAGCUGGGGAAGUGGCCAUGUGAGAGGCUCAGCUACCGGUUUUC